UGGGUGUCACGCCGUGGCCGCCUCGCUCAUUCUCGAUGGGAGUGCUGAGACGGCUGCUCUUGAGGAGGAGACGAAAGUUGAUGCGGGCGUCAGCGGUUACUUCUGGACGGCAUAGGGUGCGCCAUCGGUUGUUCCGCCGACGGUUGCGGCAACUGAGUCGGUUGUUGUUGGAGUUUUUUGACCGCAUCCGUCAGAACGGUCAUUUGCCGCA
rnacentral:lncRNA from 1 species